rnacentral:rRNA from 1 species
AGUGAACGCUGGCGGUAGGCCUAACACAUGCAAGUCGAACGGCAGCACAGUAAGAGCUUGCUCUUACGGGUGGCGAGUGGCGGACGGGUGAGGAAUACAUCGGAAUCUACUUUUUCGUGGGGGAUAACCUAGGGAAACUUACGCUAAUACCGCAUACGACCUACGGGUGAAAGCAGGGGAUCUUCGGACCUUGCGCGAUUGAAUGAGCCGAUGUCGGAUUAGCUAGUUGGCGGGGUAAAGGCCCACCAAGGCGACGAUCCGUAGCUGGUCUGAGAGGAUGAUCAGCCACACUGGAACUGAGACACGGUCCAGACUCCUACGGGAGGCAGCAGUGGGGAAUAUUGGACAAUGGGCGCAAGCCUGAUCCAGCCAUACCGCGUGGGUGAAGGAGGCCUUCGGGUUGUAAAGCCCUUUUGUUGGGAAAGAAAAGCAGCAGGUUAAUACCCCGCUGUUCUGACGGUACCCAAAGAAUAAGCACCGGCUAACUUCGUG